UACGUAGGUGGCAAGCGUUAUCCGGAUCUAUUGGGCGUAAAGGGAACGCAGGCGGUCUUUUAAGUCUGAUGUGAAAGCCUUCGGCUUAACCGGAGUAGUGCAUUGGAAACUGGGAGACUUGAGUGCAGGAGAGGAGAGUGGAAUUCCAUGUGUAGCGGUGAAAUGCGUAGAUAUAUGGAGGAACACCGGUGGCGAAAGCGGCUCUCUGGCCUGUAACUGACACUGAGGCUCGAAAGCGUGGGGAGCAAACAGG
rnacentral:rRNA from 1 species